CCUACGGGUGGCAGCAGUGAGGAAUAUUGGUCAAUGGACGCAAGUCUGAACCAGCCAUGCCGCGUGCAGGAAGACGGCUCUAUGAGUUGUCAACUGCUUUUGUACGAGGGUAAACGUAAAUACGCGUAUCCGGCUGAAAGUAUUGUACGAAUAAGGAUCGGCUAACUCCGUGCCAGCAGCCGCGGUAAUACGGAGGAUGCGAGCGUUAUCCGGAUUUAUUGGGUUGAAAGGGUGCGUAGGUUGUUUGUUAAGUUAUCGGUGAAAGUUCCGGGCUUAACCAGGAAAUUGCCUUUGAUACUGGUGGACUAGAGUGUGGUUGAGGUAGGCGGAAUGCGUGGUGUAGCGGUGAAAUGCAUAGAGAUCACGCAGAACUCCGAUUGCGAAGGCAGCUUACCAAGCCAUAACUGACGCUGAAGCACGAAAGCGUGGGGAGCAAACAGGAUUAGAUACCCUGGUAGUC
rnacentral:rRNA from 1 species